AGGCCAUGACUACAAAAUGCCAGAUUCCUUGAUGGUAAAUCCCCUGGACCUACAGCAGCCCACCACCCCAGCUCGGGCAGUGAAGGGACACAGAGAAGCCAAACUUCAACAGGAAAAUGCCUGCAGCAAAAUGGUUGAGAACAUGAAAGGAAUGUCUGCCUGUGGUUAAUUCAAUUCAAUUCAAUUGUGCACACCCAGGGCAGGUGCCCCCAUGGAGUCACAUGUCUACCAACCAGCCCAAAUGCAACAUGAUCACAUGAGCAUAAGCCAAGUUCGCCCCACCACUGGCAUGCAGGAUAUUCAAAGUCGGCUGUGACCCUCACUGCUGGGGAGAGGAGGCCAUAAAAGCACAUGAGAAAAGCUAUAAAAUAACCGUGAGAUGAAGGUGGGCAGCCCAUCAGCCAACACUUAUCAAACUCCUACUGUGUGUCCGGGACAUCAGAAAGAGCUGGGGAUGAGCACUGAGCAGGAUGACCUACAUGUUUAUUUGUUAGUGUGUUUACCAGGUGUUGCAUGCACCGACUACUGCUCUAGGUACUCAGGUUGAGCCAGAAACACUCCAGGCAAGCCCCUGACCUUGCAACCUGACAUCAUAAGUACUAUGGAA